ACGGCGAGUGAAGCGGCAACAGCUCAAAUUUGAAAUCUGGCCUCUUUGGGGUCCGAGUUGUAAUUUGUAGAGGAUGUUUCGGGCACCGCUCCGGUUUAAAUUUCUUGGAACAGAAUGUCAAAGAGGGUGAGAACCCCGUCUUGGACCGGCAGUAGGGCCCAUGUGAAACUCCUUCGACGAGUCGAGUUGUUUGGGAAUGCAGCUCAAAAUGGGUGGUAAAUUUCAUCUAAAGCUAAAUAUUGGCCAGAGACCGAUAGCGCACAAGUAGAGUGAUCGAAAGAUGAAAAGCACUUUGAAAAGAGAGUUAAACAGUACGUGAAAUUGUUGAAAGGGAAGCGCUUGCAACCAGACUUGCGCGCGGCGGUUCCCCCUUCCUUUUGGUUGGGUUAUUCCGCCGUGUCCAGGCCAACAUCGGUUCUGGGGGUCGGUUAAAGGCCUGGGGAAUGUAUCUACCCUUCGGGCGUAGACUUAUAGCCCCGGGUGUCAUGCGACCUCCCGGGACCGAGGAACGCGCUUCGGCUCGGAUGUUGGCGUAAUGGUUGUCAGCGACCCGUCUUGA
rnacentral:rRNA from 1 species